rnacentral:misc_RNA from 1 species
GGAAGGACGUCUCAAAGUUGAAUGUAGUUUCCCAUCUUUUACCACAGUCUCGGGUUAUUUUCCAUUCUCAGGCUUCUUGUUUUUGGGGCCUUUCCUACACAGAUUACCAAUAAUAAAGCCAAUACCUUUGCAGAAGACACCGAGAACGCCUGUAUCGACUCGACGCGUAAACAGGAUGUGAUGCCUCUAGUGCGUACGUUGGAAAAGCGACACCGACAAACGAAACAUAACGUCUAAUGUCUCCAGUUUUCCCGCAGGAUGGUGCUGCGCCUAACAAAGUCACUUAGGUCGUAUAUCAGUAAGUGACCGUAAAUGGAUGUCCAAAUCAUUGUGGGAGCCGCCCGCUCCACUUCCCUGAUUAGGCCCUAUGGCCGCGGGAAAAGCACUCCGAGCUGUCCACCUGUCAGCCGGAGCGCCCCGUUUCGUCCCUCGGAGGAGCAGCCAUCUUGCCUGCUUACCCUCGCGUCGCAUACCUCCCCCCCCCCCCCCCCGUGCCCCCCUCCCCCCCUUGCGGGGACACGUGAAACGUCCCCCUGGCGGUUGGACCUUCUUGGGUCCGAGGCUGAGGCCGCCAGCAGAGAGGAAGAGAGAGGGGGGCCUUGCGCCCCGCUCGAGGGGACUGCUCGCGGGGACAUCCAACUGUUCGGACGUGUGGCCCGGCCCUCCCUGACGGCCCACCUCCGAGCCGCUCUCAGGGAGGCACGACAAGGGUGGAGGAAGCUGUGCUUCGGAGACUGCGGGCUUGGGUGGCCAUUACACCGGCUGUAACCUGCACAUGGAGCUCUCCACCCGUCACACGACAGGCGACAUGCCCCAAGUGUCCCCUAGACGCGACGGAAGCGGAUGUGCAUCACCUUAUAUGGACUUGUCCUGGUCUACAGACUGAGCGCACUCGCCUACUUAUAGCUGCAGGUCUCCAACACAGUGCACCCACCAGCUACCAUAAGUGGCUGCAUAACAACCACUAUCACAAGACAUUGCUUCAAUUCAUCCAUACCACAGGCCUUGUAGCAUACAUAUAAGACAUUUAUGCCUAAAAGCAACCCCUACAUAAUAAAAAAAACUACUUUAUUACUAACCAACUAGCCCAACUUUCUACUUCAUUAUUAACUAGCGACCUAUUGCGUUGUCAUGUGAAUUGUCACGUCAUUGUUGAAUUGCUGUCGCUUGACACCUCCACUGACCAAGUUUUAACACGCACUAACAUAAAAAAGCCUAUCCUGAUAGAAUAGUCGUUUUUGAGUUUUCCUGUACAUCAAAGUGCUCAUCAUUAUUUCAUCAAGCACAUAAAGAUGCAAAAAAAUUUAGUGCAUUCUAGGUUAGCCAUAGUAGUAUUUGUAGACAAGUUCUUCUCUUCUACACGGGAGGGAGCCACCUCACCAAGAGAGAGCACGAGUAUCGCGCAAGCGGCUUGGGACCGUUGACCAAUGAGAGACACACACACGGCAAGCACUGUUACCUGCCAUGUCUAGGCAAGCUCGUCGAACUCGAACUCAGUUCUCGGUCUUCUCAGUUGUAUUAACUAAUCGU